GGACGAAGUUCUCGGGCAGAGAACAAGUGCGCUCCUGUCGUACCAAGUACGUGAAGCGGCAGAGGCCAAAAAACAGCGCCGAGCCCUUGGGGAUGGGGUUUGAUUUUAAAGUUGCUGCCGUGUCGCCCCGAUUUCGCAGUUUAACAGUGCCCAGUAAGAUAGAAGAGGACCUGCCUUGCAGCCAGCUAGACUGUCCAUUUUUAUUGGAGACAUUGUCAUGACGGCCAUCAGAAGGGUUCCUAUUCGUCCAAAGUGAAAACUAAGCACAGUUCUCAAAAUGCGCGGAAUAGGGAAGAUGAAUUCAAUAUUAAGUUAUGUAUUUACAAAUAUAUUUAAGCCCAUUUUGCAGGGGCCAAAAUACGGGAGCAAGGCACCAACAGCACCAUUAAGGCAGUGUAGGUGGACUUAAUGGCGUUGUAUGGUUCUUGUUUCUCAAAUCAUAGGAGAUGACAUUUGUUCCUGUGACAUUCCCAAACUAAAUGUAAAGUGGUUGGAGCCAGGUGAGUGACUUGGGAGUUAAUCUGUGUGAGAUUUUGGUUUAACACAUGUUCUGCCAAAAUGGCAGGUCGUCUCAGAUAGGGGAAGGAAUUUCAGAUUAGCACCCACAGAAAGGAGGCUUUCACCGAGCUUCCUGCAUGGAUUUAGUUACCACUUUGUUUUCAUGUGGUCUGGACUGUAAGGAGGGCAGGAGGCUUAGCAGUGCUAUAGUGUAGAAUGCAGUGUGUUGCCAGGCAUACAACACUAAAAAGGCUCUAGCUUUGAUUUUGUAAUUUGUAUUUCCCCUGGGCAAAAUGAUGCCUAAACUGUUUGUUAUUGCUAUGAGGCUAUACCAAGUCGGUUCCACAGGCCUUUCGUGAAAACACCCCCAGGAGUCCCUUCUAGGCUUGCGAAGGCCUGGUCACUAUUAAGCGUCUGAAAAAAUAGUCAUUCUGUCAAAGACAAUAUUUUAUGUUUUUCAGUUGCUUCUUUUUGAUACGUACUGAUUUGUCUGUGUUUUGUGGUUGAUUGUAUGAAGUUUCACAUGCUAGAAAUACUCUGCAACUAAGCUGAAGAAUGUUUAGUGUGAAGAAAUAGUUACUUGGCAUGAUGGCUCACGCCUGUAAUCCCAACACUUUGAGAGGCUGAGGCAGGAGGAUUGCUGGAGGCCAGAAGUUCGAGACGCCAUCUUUACCAAAAAAAAAAAAAAAUGUUUUUAAGUAGUUGGGCAUGGUGGUGUGGUAGCACACACCUGUGGUCCCAACUACUUGGGAGGCUACGGCAGGAGGAAUGCUGGAGCCAGAGAGGUAGAGGCUGCAGUGAGCUAUGAUCACACUGCUGUGCUCCAGCCCGGGCAACAGAGCAAGACCCUGUCUCAAAAAAAAAAAAAAAAAAAAAUUAAUUUUGAUGUUAAAUGAAAAAGUAAAACAGAAAUGCAGUGUGUGUGUAUAUGUGUAGUAUAUAUGAAAAUGCAUGUACUCCCAGUUGCACACCCACUGAACAACUGGAAAAAAAUGCAAUUUUUUUUGUUGUUCAGAAUAGUGGGAUUCUACUGAUUUUCAUUGUCUUUAAACUAUUUUAAGUGUUCUAUAUUGUUACAAUGUUCUCAAGUGUUCCAAUGGCUGUUACUUUUAUAAUUAUAAAAGAAUAAGCAUUUUUAAAGAACAGAUAUAUCUUAUUUCAAAAACAAGAGUUUUUCAUUUACCAGAAUAGCUGCAAGAAAAGUUACGUUGAGUUUCUUUGGUUUUUUGAGGAAAUAAUUGAACAUUUUUGCCUUCAGUGAUGCCUUUUUCACCACUAGGACUUCCUUUUCUUCAGACAUUCCCCGUAAUCCAUUGGUCCCCAAACUUUUUGGCACCGGGGACAAGUUUCAUGGAAGACAGUUUUUCCACAGGUGGGGAAGGGGAGAUGGCGGAUGGUUUCGGGGUGAAACUGUUCCACCUCAGAUCAUCAGGCAUUAGUUAGCUUCUCAUGAGGUGUGUGCAGCCCAGAUCCCUCACAUGCACAGUUCACGAUAGGGUUUGUCCUCUGAUGAGAAUCUAAUGUCACUGCUGAUCUAACAGCCACAUCUAACUUGAGAAGGUGGGAGAUGAGGUUCUCUUGCGGAGUGACUAUAGAUCCAAAUAAUACUUGGAUAUUUGGCAGUUCUAAUAAUAAAACAAGAAUGUUCUUUGGACAACUGUGUCACAGUCUACUCCUCUGUCCCCUCAAAUAUCCAUGGAUACCCUUGUGACACAUAGAACACACCCUGUUUGAAGAGAGAAAACCCAGAGUUGUAAGCAGUUACUGCAUCCAGCUCAGCAUCCAUGAUCUAAAGAUGUAACAGUCCCUUACAAGUCUGAUAUAACUCCUCAUGGUCCAAUGACCUACAGAGUAAAUUAUGUUAUUUAUUCCCCUUUCCCUUCCUCACACAGCCAGUAUGCAGUGGUGAAGUAGGACAGCCAGUAUGCAGUGGUGAAGUAGGACAGCCAGUAUGCAGUGGUGAAGUAGGACAGCCAGUAUGCAGUGGUGAAGUAGGAAGAAGAGUGAGGACAAAAUAGUAGUUCUUUGUCUAAGCAAAUGUGAAGAGGAGAUGAGACUGCAAAGGUAAUGAAGUAAAUUCUUGGUUAGACCCCAGUUCUGUUUUCCAGGAGGAACUCUGGUUUGUUGCAUCUGAAGGUACUGUCUUUACCCACUGGGAGGUUCUUACCCAUGAUCCAUGAUUCCAUCUGAAGGGCACGCUAAAGAGUGUGCUCCAUGAGAGGCUACACAUCUUUUUAUAUCCAGUUUCUUACUGGUGCACUUUUGAGGGACUGUGGGUUACUUUAGUUGGGUCAGAUAGACACAGGCAUUGGCAAGCUAGGCUUAAUAGCUUCUUUGUCAAUUCAAUUUUUAAAAGAUACUGAAUGGAUUUCUUAUCUAUUUGUUCCUUGUAUAGGUCCUUUUACAAAUAACCACAGAUACAGAUCUCAAUUAGUCAUAUUUCUUAUGCCUAACUACUCUUCAUUUUUAUUUACGAGACUCUCUCAUAUCUCCUAUACCUACUAACUUAAUGGCUAUAUGCUUGCACCCAGCAAAAACAGCAGGCAUGGUUAGGAUUGCAGUGCCCUUAAUAUCUCUAUUGCUUGUCUGGCUUCCAUUGUCCAGCAGAGGACACUUUGCUGAUGGCCUUUGAGAAGUGCCUUGGGUCACAGUUUUAUCUUCUGCUGUCAGAAGUGUAAUAGCUCUUGGCUUUAUCAAAACUAGAAGGCUUGAAAUCACCACUCAGUCAAUUUGUAUUGCAGACUACAUGCAGAGAACUCCAUCUUAGCAUAGCUUUAUUUCCUUCCAGCUCUGUUAACAAAAUGACUAGUUUUUACCUGAGUUCAUCUUUCUCAAAAUACUUUGCUAAAGAGACAGGAAGAAGUCAGUACUCUCUCACUGACCCAGAGAUUCACUCCCAACCAUUUUCCCUGCUACUACAGAUUCAAAGAGCAGGUAGUCUGCCUGCUAAGGUAUUGAGUUGACAAUUUUAUCAAAUGUCUUGUGGUGGGGAAAAAAAAAAAGGGGGGGGUGGUCACCAGCUUUUCACCUAUAAUACCUGUGCUGUGUGUCAGUUAAAUUAAUACCACAUAAUUUAGGUUAAUGUCAUGGUGUCUACAGAAAAUCUGGAGCUAAUACUGGUUUAGCAACAUUGCAGCUACAAAAUCUAUAUGCAAAAAUCGUAUUUCUAUAAGACAAAAUAAUGGAAAUCAAAAUUUUAAAAAUAUUAUUUAUUAACAUCAAAAAUAUUUAAAAUUUGUAUCUGACUGAAGAUAUGUUAGACCUGCACAUCAAAACCGCAAAACAUUGCUAAGAGAAAUGUAAAAGACCUAAAUAAAUGUGGAGGUAUACCA
rnacentral:antisense_RNA from 1 species